rnacentral:rRNA from 1 species
UACGUAGGGGGCGAGCGUUAUCCGGAUUCAUUGGGCGUAAAGCGCGCGUAGGCGGCCGCCUAAGCGGAACCUCUAACCCCGGGGCUCAACCUCGGGCCGGGUUCCGGAUUGGGCGGCUCGAGUGCGGUAGAGGAGAGCGGAAUUCCCGGUGUAGCGGUGGAAUGCGCAGAUAUCGGGAAGAACACCGAUGGCGAAGGCAGCUCUCUGGGCCGUCACUGACGCUGAGGCGCGAAAGCUGGGGGAGCGAACAGG